GAUGUUGCUCCUGGUCCUCAUGAUAUUUUUGCUUUGUAAGGAUAAUGCUGAUGCUGAAGUAAUAACAUCAUUCUCCUCAAAGCAGCAUGUUUUGUCAGGAAGAGAUGUUACACUUUCCUGCAACUACAGUGGCAAUGUUCGCAGUCUGCAGUGGUACCGUCAGCAUCCCGGAUCCAAACCUGAAAAUAUAGUUUUUCACACUGAGAGCAGCAGUCAACCAGAGCCCAAGCUUCGUCUGUACGCUGUGGCCAAUAAAGGAAUCAAACUUAUGAAUCUCAGCAUAUCUUCUACACAAAUGGAUGAUUCUGCUCUGUACUACUGUGCCCUGCAGCCCACAGUGACAGGAAACACAACUGCACUGUACAAAAACAGACAAUCAGGACACACUGCAAUUACCAAACAUUACCAACAUGUACAAUAAGGAAAAAUGAAAGAAAAUUAAUUAAGAGAGCUGGUAACUUACAUCAACCAGCGUAAAGAUCUUUCAAACUUGUGGUUACAGCACUUUAACACUGUAUAUUUUCCACAUAGCUUAUUGUCCAAAAGAAACAUUUUGUUUUUUGUGAAAUCAUUAUAUAGAUGAUUAAACAACAGCCAUACCGUAUUUAAAAAUCUUCAUUUU